rnacentral:rRNA from 1 species
UACAGAGACUGCAAGCGUUAUUCGGAUUCACUGGGCGUAAAGGGUGCGCAGGCGGCCGUGUGUGUGAGGCGUGAAAGCCCGGGGCUUAACCCCGGAAUUGCACCUCAAACUACACGGCUAGAGCAUUGGAGAGGGUAGCGGAAUUCGACGGUGUAGCAGUGAAAUGCGUAGAUAUCGAUGAGGAACACCAGAGGCGAAGGCGGCUACCUGGACAAUUGCUGACGCUCAGGCACGAAAGCGUGGGGAGCAAAAGGG